rnacentral:rRNA from 1 species
ACGCUCGACACCUACGGGAGACAGCAGUGGGGAAUAUUGCACAAUGGGGGAAACCCUGAUGCAGCGACGCCGCGUGAGCGAAGAAGUAUUUCGGUAUGUAAAGCUCUAUCAGCAGGGAAGAAACUGACGGUACCUGACUAAGAAGCACCGGCUAAAUACGUGCCAACAGCCGCGGUAAUCUGAGCGGGCUGGCAAGGCU